CGAUACCAUCGGAAAAGUUAAUUAUUUCCAAAAUUUAACAAAAAUAAGCGGUCCGACACAGUAUGCACUUAUAAGUAAAUCUAGAUGUCAAAGGCUUGAUAACACAAAAAUGCAUUUUUUUUUGCCCAUGAACAUUCCACUAAGGAACAGGGGCAAACUUCUCACAUAUCAAUGAGUGCAGUCCGAUUCAAGUUUAAGCUCAAUGAUAAGGGGCCUCCUUUUUAUAGCCGAGUCCGAACGGCGUGCCGCAGUGUGACACCUGUUUGGAGAUAAGUUUAACAUGGCAUAGUACCUCACAAAAUGUUGCCAGCAUUAGAAGGGGAAAACCACCAUUUUUUCUGAUGGUCUCGCCAGGAUUCGCGUACUUUUCCAGUUAAAAUUUGCAGGAGUAUAAAAGCCAUUUUACUUUCUUUAAAAAUUUGCAAGCAAAAGUACGCGAACGAUUCCAGUGAAAAUUUGCAAAACAACAGCUGUUUUGAUUGGUUCUUUAUUUGCCUGCUUAGGAAAGCAAUUGCUUAAAAAAAUGGUGGUGAAACUUGUGAGGUAUUUUCCUUAGAUAAACGUCAACUCAUUGACCAGAGAAUGACAAGACUAGAAGGGAGCCAAUUUACCGAGCACUAAGCAACGAAUUUCAUCCGUGGCGCCAAUCCGCGCAAAGCGCUGGAUACGUUGCAGAAGAAUCUGGAUCUGCCUCGAAUCGAGUACCUUACAACUGUCUAAACACUAUUAUAGUACCCGAUGUUUGGAAAUGAGUACUGAAACCUAGAAAGGACACGAGCAAGGAGAAGUCGUACAGACCGAUUUCCCUUCUCUCAUUAGUAGCCAAGACACAUGAAAAACUACUCCUCCCGAUCCUUCCGUUGGGCAAUUUCCAUUCGCCGAGCACCAGCAUGCAUUUCGAAGGCGGCAUAGGACUACAACUGCUUUACAUGCCAUCACCGUACACAAAAAUAGAAACAACGUUCUCAAACCCUUUGAUGGCAGCACUUGGUGUGCUGAAAAAGAAAACUUGGACUAACCACGUACAAAGCAAUUAUCCGGUCUGUGGGAAAACCCGCAAAGAAUUAAAUUGAUCUCAAAGGAAUCUAAUGGCCUCUAUGUUCUCCUCUAUUGGUGCUCCUGCCGUAUGUUCGGUUUUGCCUCCAAUGGCAGCUAACUCUGUCUAUAUGGUAAUAUUCAAGGCUACGCCCAACCGGAGGGCAUUUUUAGGGUACUAGCCUGGAACAAAAAUUCCUAUUGAGACUUCCUACCUGCCUAAAGGGUGCUCUAUCUAUUUGGGAAAGGUAGAUACCAUAAAACACUUUCGGUGGUACAAUGAAAAAUAAAUAAUCUGUACAUCCGUCUGCCCAAACGUUUAGGUUUAAGUAUAAAGAGUUAGUGUCUAUGUAGCCGCCACCUGGAGCACUGCGUUCUGCGAGUACGUUUGAAGGAGGUCCCACGAUGGUGCAGAGGCGGUGAGCCGUAGGUCAGCAAGCUGAGCUAUGUUUUCUUUUACUUUUAAAUAGUUUUCCCGCUAAAAUUAGUUCGUAAGGUGUUUAAUAACAAUAGCUUUUAAUUGAAGUCUUUUUUUUUGUAAUAAUAGUUUGUAACUUCA